GGGAGAGAAAGCCACAAGCCACUAUGAAAUACCACAGUAAAUCAGCUUUAGAAAAACAACAAAAACUAUUUUAGAAGUUUCUUCUUUUUAUGUACACAUUUAUAUAUUUAUACACUGUACAGAUUAAAAAAUAAAAUAAAAAUGGUUGAAAUAUAAGAUUGUGCACCCCACAGAUGUGUGACUAAAGAGAGAACAGAAGAGAGCAAGAAAUGGGACAAAGGGAUGUCAAGGACAUACAGAUAUCAACAUCCCCAAUUAACACUGAUGAGUUUUUACAUACACAAUUUUCAUUUAUCCUUUAUACAAUUUCACAAAAUCCUGGCCUAUUUUGGCCAAUCCUCCUCGUAUCUCCACCAAUAUCUGUGUAGAGAGCCCUAAUCAGACAUUUAGGGUGAUUUCAAUCUGAGUGACCACUGAUCAGUUUUCAGAUUUAUUUAGAUCUGUGUUUUGAAUUGUUACUGGGCUUUUCUAGAGCCAAGGAAGGACUCUACUAAGAAUCCCAGCUCAAUGCCUCAGAGGCAAAUGGACCAUACCGGGCUUCCUAUUUUAUUUUCAGACAAAUAAUUCAUUUUCACCUGAAUCGUGCCAUUUUAUCUGUUUCCUAUUCUGGCUGAUCUUUUCAAUUUAAUGCUGCAUCAGAUGCAUAAUGAUGUAUCGUUUGCGUGUGUGCUCAGUAUGAGGCAGGGAGGUGACUGUUCCCAGUUAUUUUAGAAACAGGUAGGUGCUCUGCUAUGUUCUGCUCUGCCUGGAGAGAUGGCAGUGAUGCAAAUGAGGUGAUGAUCAUUGUCUGUCUCACCUUUUCUCUGUGACACUUGGGGAGUGAGAGCAUAUGGAGGAGAGAGGGGAGGGGUGUUGUUUAAGAGCACCUUGUGCCAAAAAGCAUGUGUGUCACAGUGGGGUUUUGAAGUACGUCAGCACUGACGUAUGGAGACCUCGCCUGUCUUAGUCUCUGUGUGUUGGGCCAGACCUAGAGGGGAGGGACGUGUUGAGCCAGACCUGGAGCGGAGGGACGUGUUGGGCCAGACCUAGAGCGGAGGGACAGUGUGUUGGGCCAGACGUAGAGGGGAGGGACAGUGUGUUGGGCCAGACCUAGAGCGGAGGGAGAGUGUGUUGGGCCAGACCUAGAGCGGAGGGACAUGUUGGGCCAGACCUAGAGCGGAGGGACAGUGUGUUGGGCCAGACCUAGAGGGGAGGGACAGCGUGUUGGGCCAGACCUAGAGCGGAGGGACAGUGUGUUGGGCCAGACCUAGAGCGGAGGGACAGUGUGUUGGGCCAGACCUAGAGCGGAGGGAC
ensembl:lncRNA